rnacentral:lncRNA from 1 species
CUGAUUGGUGCACGCGCAUCAUUCACACAACACAAUGGACCGCGAGUUCCCUGCCGGCGCGCUCACCUCCGGGCUCUGCACCGGCUUGCUGGCCGCGACCCAGCGGCCUUUCCCCCGGUGGGAUCUCCCCGCCGCUCUGCGCUUGGGGAGCUCCCGGUGGAGGUGUGGGCGCCGCCGUGUCCCGGCGAGGGAAGGGGCGAGAGGAAAGCGUCUUUCGGAGAGAUGCGCCCACAGACCUGUCGAUGCCAUGACACCUCAGCUAAACAUGUGCCCUCUCCCACCCUGCUCAGCUCCCUGGGCUGGCCUUCACACACACUUUCUUGCCCAGUCUGACCAGCGGGAGGCUCUGGAAGACCAUGAGCAGGUGCCAUGAGCAGGUGGGAAGCAGAGCCCUUCUCUGCCAACCCCUGACUUAGUGCAAGACUAUCUACUGGAUUCGUACAGUGAGCUUCUGAGCCAUGAAACCAUCCUUUCAGCCAACAGCAAGGACCUACUGUGUGUUCGUGCCUACUAAAUGCUGGGGUUACAGGUGUGCACAAAGUAAGGGUGCCCUCUGUUCCCUCUA